rnacentral:rRNA from 1 species
ACGCUCGACACCUACGGGAGGCAGCAGUGGGGAAUAUUGGGCAAUGGGCGAAAGCCUGACCCAGCAACGCCGCGUGAGGGAAGAAGGUUUUCGGAUUGUAAACCUCUGUCCUCAGGGACGAAGGACGUGACGGUACCUGAGGAGGAAGCCCCGGCUAACUACGUGCCCGCAGCCGCGGUAAUCUGAGCGGGCUGGCAAGGC